CAAAAAGCCAUGCAGAGGAGAUCAGUACUAUGGUCCUGAAGGUCGAUUUCCCACAUGAGGCUGAUUCACUGUACUCUGGAUGUGCUGACCCCUACAAUUUUCCCCAAAUACAGGGAGACUUGACUGUGUAAUUUGUGGUAGUUGGGAACUGCAUUUGCAAUCUACC